rnacentral:lncRNA from 1 species
UGUACCGCACUAAACAGUCAUUAAAAAUACGAGAAAAGAAUAAAAAAAUUACCGUGAAAUAGCUUUUAGCCAAUAUCGAAGGCAUACAGAUCAUGUUACUUGAUUCAUUCAGGUAUACAUUGUAGCUCUAUAAGUUUAGCAAAUUUAAUUGCAAAGUAAGAUAUUUUAAUAGAAAAAAAAACAAAUUCAAACAUGAUAUGUAUGAAUAUUUACAAGACCGUUUUCGAGAAACAGAAUGUCGAGCUACAUACACUGUCAUUCUAUUACUGACAAUAUCCAUUAUAGGCAGCAGGGUAUACAGGUAAUUGUAUGACCCGGGUAAUGUAAAAGUCAUUCUUCAGAGGAAUCUAAAUUAUUACAAUGGGUUCAUUAGAUUGGAAAAAACAAACAAAAUAAAACAUGUUUCUAAAAUUUAAAAAAGAAAUGUUGAUUUGGUCUGUUGUAAGGGUCGUUUGGCUUUUAUUUGGAAAUUGUCAUCGCUGGGUACAUUUUCUCUUGUUUGUUUCUCAUCAGUACAAAUAAAUGUUCUUCCUUUUAUCACUUUAUAUAGCAUUCCGCAGUGAUAGCUGCAUUCAAGUUUAUAUGUAUAUGUAUUUACUUAAUUAUUACCAUCUCAUUUUAUACUUUUAUAUAUAUUGCUAGGAAUCCUUUACUUUGACGGCCUUGUAGAAGUUGUUUUGAAACACUCUGUAAAUGAAACUAGGAAGAAAAUAAAUCUAGGCGGCUAGUAUCCUCUUAUCAUUACCAUGUGAAUUAAUUAAAUUGACGGGUCACACAAAGCUGAGCCUUUAUAUUUAAACUAUAUCUAAGAUAUUUGUGGAAAACCAGUUAUUUUUUAUCCAGCUGACGUAAAAGUCGAUUUGUUUACAACAUGUACCAAUGUUAAACAUGCAAUCUGAUGUAAUAAUAUACCUAUCCUGUCGUGGGCAUUUCCCAGAUACACUCAGUCGAGUAUAUGUAUAGAAGUCAAAUACCACGAUAUACUAGCAGUUCCGUUUUGUUUCUACACAAUGCGUUGAUAAGGAUAAGAUGAGCUGUAAAAUAUUAUGACAUGACCAAGAUUACUUAAUGACGCCGAAAUGAAAUGUCUCGCCUACAUACGGUUAUGUCCGUGCGCUGAGGUACGGUGCGGAUGGGAUUGGUCGGGGGGGGGGGGGGCGGGGGCGGACACGGGUAAGUACGGAGCAGUAUGUCUUAGCAGGGGAAAAUGGUGAGAAACGGGGAACAAAAAAAGUCAGGACGCGAAUAAGUUCUACAUUGAACCACGUUUUACUGCGCCUGGCAACUUACUCAGCGCAUGGACGGGUCUACAGUGAACUACGUUGAACUACGAUUAAGUACGGACAGCCUCGGAUAACUACGUUCAACUACGAAUCAAUACGGCAAGUAACCAGCUUCAGCCAGCCUUCGCUUCAUUGUCGUCACCCCGGCUAAGCAAAUCAGAAAUCCAAGUGCGACAAUUUCGGAGAAGACCACUGAAGUUGUACGUCUUUACGUCGUCAGCAACCUUUCCAUUCAGUCUUGCUUCGAUCUGAUGUAGCGACUACUGUUAUUAUUGUUGACCCGCUGCAGGCGGCUGGUGAAGUCUGCCUCUUUUACGGCCACACGGAUUGGAAGGGUUUUCGGAUUAGAAAUGUUUCUACCUUUAUGAAUUAAUUGUGUUUGUAAAGCUACAUUAAAUUUUGAUCUUAUUACCAUCAUGUAAGUGUCAAGAUUGUGUUGCAGAUUUUGAUUGUUAAGAAGAAAAAAUAUAGAGUUGUGGAUCACUUUAGCGAUAAACUAUCACUUCCAUAAUCCAUAGAAGAAAUUUUGCACUGUAAGCAUAACUUUACCAGCAACAACAGAAUGCUGCAUGCAAAGUGUAAUUUUGCAAGCGUUUAUUGUACGUAUUUCCUUCAUCCGUCCGUCACGAUGAAUACUUCUCCAUUUCCAUAGAUGAAUAUAUAGACAGAAACAACUGCUUUACAUGUAGUUCAUUUACGGGUACUUUGUUUUACGAUGACGCGACCCUCGAUUCCACCCCCCCCCCCCCCCCCACCCCCUCCAAGGCACAGGUGAAGUUAUGUAGUAAAACUAGCGGUUCACGUACUCCUUUAUAGUAAUAAGAAAGCAUGCCUUUAAUAAGAAAAUCCACCGAAAUUUUCUUUGACCAAAGCAGUCUUUUUUCAGUUAAAAAAAAUCGUUUCAUUCUUAUCAAAUCCAUAUGAAGAUCUUUUCGAAGCAAUGCACGGCCUGACUGUGUCUGUUCAUAACAAUGAUGAUAAUACUAAUAAUAAUAAUAGUAAAUAAUAACCAGAUUUACUGAUAUUUUGCAUAAAGUUUACUGUACUAUUUUGUGCAUUCUUUUAUAUCAUUGAAAUGCGCAUGAGUUUUUAAAAAAAUGUACAAUACGUGUUUUAAGAAAGCAGUAACACUGAAAUAUCACAUUUUUUCCUUCUAAAAUAUGGUACAAAUUAUAACAUUUUCAUCAAUAAGCUUCUAAUCUUUUAAACACCCUUUAGGGAUGCAUAUAUAUAGUAACUGCAACGUCCGUCCUUCCGUUCCGAUUUCGUGUCCGAUCCGAAUCAACAUAUUUUAAUAUUGUUCCCCCUAGCUGGACGACGUGAGUCGCAACACCUAGGCUUCUAGCUCAAAGAUCAAGCUCACACUUGGAUGUCAAAGAUCAUCAGGUCUUUUUCCCUGUUCGGUCUGUAACGCAACCUCCAAUCAAGGGAUUUUAACAACAGGUAGAACCUAAAGAUCAAUGUGACUCUUGCAGGUCAAACGUCAGUGUUUUUCCCCUACCCGGUCCAUAUUACUGUCAUCCUUUAAGGGAUUUUAACAUUACUUGGCACAAAUAUGCCCCAUAAUGAGACGACGUGUCAUGCAUUUGUAUAGCUCAGUUAAGUCUUGUAUUAGACUAAAUGGGGUCAAUAGUGAUUGGUUCAAUGUGAAGACAGGUUUACGUCAGGGAUGUAGUUUAUCCCCAAUUUUGUUUAAUCUGUUCAUAAAUGACCUAGUAAAUAAUGUUAAACUGCUGAAUGUUGGUAUAGACAUUGGUGAAGACGAAAAGCUAUGUAUACUUUUGUAUGCCGACGACAUUGUUCUAGUAGCGGAGAGUGAGACAGAUUUGCAGUUGUUGCUUGAUGUCCUUAGUGUCUGGUCCGAGACAAAUAAUAUGUCUGUCAAUGCAACAAAAAGCCAAGUUAUCCAUUUCAGGACAAAGAGUGAACCUCGAAGUAAUAUUGCUUUUUGCUGUGGCCCACAUACACUAGCUGUUGUUGAUAAAUAUGUCUAUUUAGGCCUUACUCUAACUGAACAUUUGGACUAUGGAAUAACUGCAAAAUUUGUUGCACAGUCUGCUGGUAGAGCUCUAGGCUUGCUUAUUGCUAGAUGUAAUAAAUUAGGCGGUAUGCCUUUCGAUGUAUUUUCUAAGUUAUAUGAUAGUCUUGUAUGGCCUGUUAUUUGCUUACGGUGCCUCUAUUUGGGGGGAAAGGUCGUAUUCCUGUGUUGAUGCUAUUCAGCAUAGGGCUAUGAGGUUUUUCCUCGGUGUAGGGCGAUAUACGCCGACCGGUGCAGUAUCAGGCGAUAUGGGCUGGACACCGCCACUCGCUAGACAGUGGAUUAGCAUUGAUAAUUUCAUUGUUCGUAUGAGUAAAAUGGAUAAUAACAGGUUGAAUAAAAGAAUUUUUGUAUAUCUAGACAAGAUUGGUAACUACAGAUGUAGGAAUUGGAAUUUUAGAGUUAAAACAUUGUUACGUAAGAUGAAUUGUUCAGAAUUUAUUGUAAAUAAUGAGACAACUAUUAAUAAAAGAGAACUCAAUACCAAAGUUACAGAUUACAUAAUGAAUGAUUUUAAAAAUAAUUGGUUACAAAAUGUCAAUAGAAUUAAUGGAAUUAAUGGAAGAGGAGGUAAUAAGUUAAGAAAGUAUAAGUUAAUUAAACAGGAUUUUGGUGUAGAAACUUAUUGUAAACUCAUUAUGUCUAGAUCUCACAGGGCUGCCUUUGCAAAAUUUAGAGCCGGUGUUGCCCCGUUGAGAAUUGAAACUGGGCGGUAUGAAAACUUGCCUGUUGCUGCUCGAACUUGUCCAUUUUGUGUGUCUUUAGUUGAAGAUGAAAUACAUACUCUGUUCUUUUGUCCAAUGUAUAAUGAUCUACGUAAUUUACUAUUUGAAAAAGCUGUACAUCUAAAUGUAGAUUUUGGAAAUAUGACAGAGGAAGAAAAAUUCAUACUUCUGUUUACAAAUGAUGAUAUUAUAAGAGAUUGUGCAAAAACCUGCUUUUUAAUUUUACAACGGCGUCAGACAUUUUUGUGCAAGUAAUGUGGGAGAAUGUUGUGGGAGAAUCAAGAUUGUUUGUUGUCUUCUUAUGAAUGCUUCGGGGCAGAAUGAGUCGGAAUCUUGGUUCCCCCAUGAUAUUGUCCUCACAUGUAGCACAUAUUUCAUAAUGAACAUGUGUACAUAACAGUAAGCUUUUAGACAGUACAAUAUAUCUUAGUGUAUAUAGAAGUGGUUUUAAUAGAAGAAUUGUUUUAACGAUGAAUAAAUGUAUAAUGUAUAGUCUCUAAUAGUUCUAUAUAGAACAGUUAUGUACUAUUAUAUGUAUGUUUGUAAAUGUAUAUUGUUAUUGUAUGUAUGUGAUAGAGACUCUAAUAAACUAAUAAACUAUGCAUAACAAGACCCCUAGCCCAAAGAGCAAGGUCACACUCAGAGUCAAAAUUCAAUGGUGUUGUGGGGUUUUUUUUUCCUUUCUGGUCCAUAACUCUGUCAUCGUUGAAGCGAUUUACUUGGUACAAAUGUAUCCCUUAAUUAGGCUAUCUCAAAGAUCAUGGUCACAUUUGGAGGUCAAACGUGAGUAGUGUUUUUAGUUUCCUGUCCGGUCUAUAAUUCUUGUCAUCCUUGAAGGUCAAUAGUUUUUUUCCUGUCCGCCCUAUUACUCUUGUCAGCCAUCAAGGGAUUUUAAUACUACCUGACACAAAUAUUCCCCAUAAUGAGACAAAGUGUCAAGCACGACAUCCGACUCCCUAAUACAAAAAUCAAGGUUACACUUCAAGAUCAAAAAUCAAUAUGUUUAUUUCCUGUCCAGCCCAUAGCUCUGUCAUUCAGAACAGCUACGAAUUUUAAUAUUACUUGACACAAUAGUUGUUUCCCUUAAUGGGACAAUUUGUCAUACACAACACCUAGUUCCCUAACUCAAAGGUCGAGGUCACACUUUGAGGUAAACAUUAAUACGUUUUUUCUCUGACUUGAUCAAACAUUUACAAUAGUACUAAUUAGUUACCAUUUCCAUUCAAAGGGCAUGCACGUUUUCGAAAGUAGCUUGUUGUUUUGUUUUACAAAAAAAUACUGUCAAACUAUAAAAAAAUAUAUAUGUUUUAAAGUUAUAGAGCUGCAUGAUAUAGCAUAUCUUUAUUGAACGUCCUUUGUCCCAUUUCCAAAAUAUUGCUUAUGUCAAAAUCCCAUGACACAUUUUGGUUUCCCAAAGUGUAAGUACUAUAAAUAUAAUAAAAUUUAUUGACCCAUUUUACAUACAUCGUAAAUUAACGGAUCAUUUAUUUAUAGAGUUAUUUACUAGUAUUAUACUCUCUUUAUACAAAACAUAAUUUAUAAUUAUAUACAAUCUAACUGAAGCACGCGAUCUUAAAAUGAUGAGAUAACGCAUGUAUUUCACCUCGUAGAUUCGAAGGUUCAGUCAAUCCCGCGGUCGUUAGGCCGAAACCUCACGGGUCUAAUUAAGCUCUAUGACACUGUCCUUGGUUGGAAACCCUGUAUGCGUCCAUGCAACACUAAUCAUUCUCACUAAGAGGACAGUAGGGUUCAAACGUAGAUGAUUUCUAUUUCAUGACUUACCCUUCCUCGCCUUAGAGAAGUACACUCAAAUAUGCAUAUAGUGGGGCGAACCUUUAUCGUUUGACUCAUAUAUAUUCUAUUAAAAUUUGCCGUAAAUAAAUAUAUUUUGCUCUUUUGUACGAAUAAUAUUUUGGAAACAAAUGACGCAACCAAGCAACCAGCAGACUCUGGUUGAUUGAGUGUUUUCGUGUUCGUGAGAGGUAACGAAAUGUGCAAACCUUUCAAUCCUCUAGCACCGGCUUAAGCGGAGUUCUAUUAUAGCAAAACGUAAAUGUUCUCCAUCAUCACAAAGACCAGAAAAUAUAACAAAACUAAGUCCAGAGGGAAACGCUAAUAGCUGCCUCUUCUCGUGGCACUUAAAAAGAAGAUAAUAAAAUAUGUGUUAAGAUCCUUUGAAAGCAUAAUUAUAGAACGCAACCAAGCAACGUAACAGCAGAGUCUGUUCAUGACAGGUAAAGAAUGUGCAACACCCCUCACGCCCCCUAGCACCGCCUUAAACGGAAGAUUUAGUCGGCACCUAUGUGGUAUUAUGAACUGACAUGUAAACACUGGUUGCGUUAAAUCCUAGAGAGAUUCCACCUUGCAUUUAUUGUUUUGAUUGUUAAUCUCCUGUUAGCGCCUGUUAAAACCCUGAAAAGUGCGUUUUUACUAAAAAAACAUAAUUUUCUUACAAAUACAUUCUAUCUUAAUAUUCUUUUAUUAUAAAUAAAGCUUGUGCUAACUUAU